rnacentral:sRNA from 1 species
CUUUUCCCCUCUGGCAGCGGAGGCGAGCACCGCGAACGCCGUGUCCCGAGCGCCGCCGCCUGCGGACGCCUCACGGGCCGGGAAGGGAUGGGGCCUUUCUCCUAAGGCGCCAGUGUCUCCAAUGUUUAACUUAUAGAUGCAUCAGAAUGACAGUGAGGCGUUGGUGAGAGCUGCUCUGGUUGCUAAUGGAGAUCUGGCCUGCCAUAGUGGGAGCAGAGCUUGCCCAGUGCGCUGGGACGACUGCGGGCUCCAUCCAUUCCGCUCCCAGGACGGUUGUCGUCCAGGACCGUGCGCUGUCAGGUCCCCCGUGGGAUCCUUCCUGGAGCUUACACUAUAGUAGGAGGCAGCCAGUACUUGCAAGCACGGGAUCGCGGGAACUACGACCUCACCCAGGCCAGGCGACCUUUCUCUCAAGAAGGAGAUGUCAGAGGCCCCGCGUGACAUAGAGCUUCCGGGGACAGGGCUCCUAAUGUGUUUGUCAGUAGAGAUGGGGUUUUACCACGUUGGCCAGGAUGGUCUUGAUCUCCUGACCUCAUGAUCUGCCUUCCUCAGCCUCCUAUUGAUCAAGGUUUUACAUGAUGCAGGAGCCUUCAGAGUGAAGACCCAGAGAUACAGGAUAAAGUACAGGAUCCUUUCUGGAAUGGAGGUCUUAUGAGCUGCUAUCGAACAAGGUAGAUGGAGUCUCGCUCUGUCACCAGGCUGGAGUACAAUGGCGUGAUCUCGGCUCACUGCAACCUCCACCUCUCGGGUUCAAGUGAUUCUUCUGCCUCAGCCUCCUGAGUAGCUGGGACUACAGAAUCACACCCUUUCUCCAGGACCACUCUUCUUCUGCUGGAAGUACAUUCUUCAGUGAGUUCCUUGAGUCUCACUCUCCUGAGUUUCCUGUUGUGAUAAAUUCUGUUUCCCAUCUGGAAAUGCCCUUUACCGUGAGCAGAUUCUUGAACAACCAUCAAUUUCAACUCCUGAUUCUAAGUUGACUGUGAAGAGUCCCAAGUCACACUCACUGUAUCACAUGGCUUCCGGCUCCCACUAUGGCCACUACAAAGUCUACUCUCAGUCUCAGCGUCUGUGCUCUGUGAUCUGUGCUUUUCCCUUGGCUGCAUUAAAGAUCUUCUCUUUGC